GAUGAAGAACGCAGCGAAAUGCGAUAAGUAAUGUGAAUUGCAGAAUUCAGUGAAUCAUCGAAUCUUUGAACGCACAUUGCGCCCCCUGGUAUUCCGGGGGGCACGCCUGUUCGAGCGUCAUUUCACCACUCAAGCCUCGCUUGGUAUUGGGCAACGCGGUCCGCCGCGUGCCUCAAAUCGACCGGCUGGGUCUUCUGUCCCCUAAGCGUUGUGGAAACUAUUCGCUAAAGGGUGUUCGGGAGGCUACGCCGUAAAACAACCCCAUUUCUAAGGUUGACCUCGGAUCAGGUAGGGAUACCCGCUGAACUUAAGCAUAUCAAUAAGCGGAGGA
rnacentral:misc_RNA from 1 species